rnacentral:rRNA from 1 species
UACAGAGGUCUCAAGCGUUUGUUCGGAUUCAUUGGGCGUAAAGGGUGCGUAGGCGGCGCGGUAAGUCGGGUGUGAAAUCUUGGAGCUUAACUCCGAAACUGCAUUCGAUACUGCCGUGCUUGAGGACUGGAGAGGAGACUGGAAUUUACGGUGUAGCGGUGAAAUGCGUAGAUAUCGUAAGGAAGACCAGUGGCGAAGGCGGGGUCUCGUGGGACAGUUCCUGACGCUGAGGCACGAAGGCCAGGGGAGCAAACGGG